rnacentral:tRNA from 1 species
GGGGUUGUGGUUCAGUGGUAGAGUACUUGCCUAGCAUGCAUGAGGCACUGGGUUUGAGCCCCAGCACCACA